ensembl:snRNA U6 U6 spliceosomal RNA
GUGAGCCACUCCCUUUGGCAGCACAUACACAGAAACUAGAAUGUUACAGAGAAGAUUAGCAUGGCCUCUGCGCAAGGAUGACAUGCAAAUUGGUUCUCACUGUGA